AGUAGUUUGAUCAGUGGCUCAGGACGAACGCUGGCGGCACGCUUAACACAUGCAAGUCGAACGGAGAUAAUUUGGAGCUUGCUCUGGAUUAUCUUAGUGGCGGACGGGUGAGUAACACGUGAGCAACCUGCCUUUGAGAUUGGGAUAGCUUCUGGAAACGGAUGGUAAUACCGCAUAAUGUUAUGAGACCGCAUGAUCUUAUAACCAAAGAUUUAUCGCUCAAAGAUGGGCUCGCGUCUGAUUAGGCAGUUGGCGGGGUAACGGCCCACCAAACCGACGAUCAGUAGCCGGACUGAGAGGUUGAACGGCCACAUUGGGACUGAGACACGGCCCAGACUCC
rnacentral:rRNA from 1 species